UCCCACACAGAUGGGACGCGGCUUAGGAGGAAUCCCAGGCUGCGGGCAUUCCUUGGCCCAGUGGCCAGAUUUCUGGCACGUGUAGCAAGCUCCUGUGGGAGGAGGUUCUGGAGGAACGCCUGGCCGCUGCGGUUCAGGCGUUUGGAAGUUCUUGUGUGCUGGAGACGUGGCUGGGGUUUGUCUCACAGUGGAGGCAAGGAAUUGCAACUUUUUUCUAUUAUGGUACACCUUGAAGAAAGCAACCCCAAAGAAAUACUCGCAGUUCAGUGCUGAUGUGGCCGAGGCCAUUGCCUUCUUUGACUCCAUCAUUGCAGAGCUGGAUACAGAGAGACGACCCCGGGCUGCUGAGGCCAGCCUGCCAAAUGAAGAUGUGGACUUUGACGUGGCCACCAGCUCCAGGGAGCACAGCUUGCAUUCUAACUGGAUCCUGCGGGCACCGCGCAGACACUCCGAGGAUAUCGCUGCCCACACUGUGCAUACUGUAGACGGCCAGUUUCGAAGGAGCACCGAGCACAGGACCGUGGGCACUCAGAGGAGACUCGAGAGGCACCCCAUUUAUUUGCCCAAGGCUGUGGAAGGGGCCUUCAACACCUGGAAAUUUAAGCCCAAAGCCUGCAAAAAAGACCUGGGGAGCUCCAGACAGAUCCUUUUCAACUUCUCAGGAGAAGAUAUGGAGUGGGAUGCAGAGCUCUUUGCGUUGGAGCCCCAGUUGUCUCCUGGGGAGGACUACUAUGAGACAGAGAACCCCAAAGGACAGUGGCUGCUUCGAGAAAGACUUUGGGAGCGGACGGUGCCCUGACUCCAUCUGGAUUCCUUGACGUGUCUCAGACUGGGUCCCUGAGAAGCUGUCCGCUUUCAGCGCAGCAUGAGGUAUUUGGUAGAGUUGAAAAUGCCAAUUGUAACACAGUCAACCCACUCAGCACACUGCCUGCUGGUGCCGUGCCAGUGCCAAACAGACCUGUGGCUUCCCAGGGGACAGGUCUCAGGACACUCUCAGAGCUUGAGUUUCUCUGCGUGGGCUGAUGACCAGGGACUUACAGCCUGGCUGGUCUUCAAGAGCUGAAGGAAUGGAAGGUCUUGAGUGGAGUGUCUGGGCUCACUCCCCUGACCUCACCUGGCCUGGUCCUCAUUCUCCACGUGUCUGUCCAGGUGGCUGCUAGCAAUGUGCUCAGUACCAGAAAUGAACUCACCUGUAGAUUUCUGGGCCAAAGCUUCAAAGAGGUAGCUCCUCUUUCUAUGAGGCUCAGAGACAUGCUGGAUCUGCACUGAGGUUGCCGUCUUGUGUGCAGAAUGCAGUUGAGAAAGCAGCUCCUUUUGCUCUCUUUUCAGAGUUUUCCAGAAACUCCUGCUGCAUUAAGCUAAGAUGAGGCUAAUGCCCUGGCAAUGGGGUGAGGGAAGGGGUAUGUCACGAGCCUGCCUGGGGGCCACACUGUUUCCUCAGGCCCCAAAACUCAGCUCCCCUUCACAUAGGCAAUUGACAAGAGAAGAAGGGAGAUGGGGUGAUUCUUUUCUUUUUCUUCUAAUUCUUACCCAGAAAAAUCUUUUUAAAUAUCCAUGGAACCAGUUUAUGACAGGCCACACCUUUCCCUUUCCCCAGUUAAGAGAACAAUCAGAAUCAUUACGUUCUUUUGGUAUAGAAAGGAUUUCUGUAUUUUAGGAACUAUCUGAAUCAGAAUUACAUUUAAAAUAUAUUCUUUGUAUUUCUAAAUACUUUUUACAUUUUUGCAAUAGUUGUACCCAUUCAAGCUUGAGAACCACUGGUUUGGAGAAUAUACUGAAAUUUAUCUAUUCUCACUUCUUUUUUUGGCAUUUUCUUGUAAACCAGUCUGUGCAUGUAUAAGGGUCUUUGGGCAGAAGGAAGGGAGAGAGACAAAAAACAGAAAACAAAACAAAACAAAGAAAACCACAAUCAUUUGAAUUAAGCCAAGGAUGUUCUAGGCUAAGGUCAGGCUAAGAACUGAACAGAGGCUUCCUUUCUGCCAUGCCUGUGGGAUGAUAUUCUUAUUGUUCCAUUUUUUAGGAAGAACCUUUUGUUUAUGUGAACCUGAUCAUAUGAAUCUAAGAAUAUGUAACUCUUACAAAUAAAAAACAGCUAGUAAUUA
rnacentral:lncRNA from 10 species